GCCACCAUAGCUCAGAGGUUGGAGCACUGGUCUCGUAAACCAGGGGUCGCGAGUUCGAAUCUCGCUGGUGGCU
rnacentral:tRNA from 1 species